AUGAAAUUUGAUUGGCUCUACAACGAUUUGCUUCGCGAAUUUUUGUGAAAAAUGUUCCGUGUUGCAUCGCAUUAACGAAGUGUUUAUCCGCGUUUAACGUCAUUAUGACGAGGCAACUUACGAUAUUCGAUAUGACACUGGGGCAACUUACGAUAUUCGAUCAGCUGAUUUGCUUGAAAAUGCACCAUAUAUCAAUCUUUAUGUAUAAAAUUCGACCAAUGCAUCUUAUUCAUCGUAUUCUAAAGCUUUAUCGUCGCAACAAAAACAAUUCAAUAUCCUUUGGCUUCAAUGUGCCAAGCAUUUUCGACCUCAAACACAUGGACCAUGGUGAUUUCCUCGUCAGACGAUUCACUCUGUUCUUCAGAGUCGCUCUCGUCACCACUAUUGCUUGUUUGUAAGCCCGGUUUAGGUUCAAAUUGAUAGGGUAAUACCUUAUCUACUUGAUAUCGAGGAUAUUUUCCAUCCGAGUAAUCAGAAAGCGCCACAUUUCUCACUAGAAGUACGAAGUCGCA